rnacentral:rRNA from 1 species
UACGUAGGGUGCGAGCGUUGUCCGGAAUUAUUGGGCGUAAAGGGCUCGUAGGCGGUUUGUCACGUCGGGAGUGAAAACUCGGGGCUUAACCCCGAGCCUGCUUCCGAUACGGGCAGACUAGAGGUAUGCAGGGGAGAACGGAAUUCCUGGUGUAGCGGUGAAAUGCGCAGAUAUCAGGAGGAACAUCGGUGGCGAAGGCGGCUUUCUGGGCCUUACCUGACGCUGAGGAGCGAAAGCUGGGGGAGCAAACAGG